AAUUCUGGCUUGAUGUUUGGUCCACCUGUUAGCUGGCUCUGGUGCUUGGUAGUCUUCUCAAACCUCUGAAUCAAGGCCACCAUGAGAGGCCUUCUGAAGACCAUCAUUACGCUUCAGAUCCAGUUGUCUUAACUAUGAGCCUACCACAAUCCCUGUGCACCAGCUAUGGAAAGUGCAGACCAAACUUCUACCUCCACCUAUAGAACUGAACUGGAGUCUGUGAACUAAUGCUGUGUUCGAGACAACUGGAACAGCAAACAAAGUUGAGUAUCCGACCUCUCAACUUGUGACUGAUCGAUCAGCACCAACCUCAACGAGAUGCAUCAUUUGACAUUGCAGACAAGAUCCUUUCUCUUUUUAAUGCAGCACUUAAGGAUGAACCACCCUGAUCUACUAAGAUGCACAGAUUCAACUCUGGCCCAGCAUCAUCCCCACACCUCAUCUGCCAUCAGUUUAAUUUAAUGUCUGUCAAUUGCAAAUGCUAUUUAUUUCAGUUAUAUUACAACUUAAUGUUAACUUUAAUUGAGACUAGUAUUGUGUAAAGCUGGGGUUUCCAAACUUUUCAUUUCAAAACCUAUUAGACAAGUGUAAUCUAUUCUAGACCCACUAAAAUAUUUUUACAUAUACAUUUUUUUAAUGGGGUAAAACACAUUUGUUCUCUUUCAGUGGAGUCAUUUUAUUUUCAUAAUAUUUCAUAAUGUAAAGCAGUGGUUCUUAAAGGCGCUCUAAGCGAAUA